rnacentral:lncRNA from 1 species
UAUCCUAUAGUUUUCAUAGCUUAUAUUGGUAGAUAUAAAUUGUGGAACUUAUAGUAUACAGUACCUAAUAUUUGAAAACUAUUAUGCAACUUGUCUUGGCGGUACAUAAAGAGUUGGUUUAUGUUUAUGUGCACUAACCUACCUCACGAGUUCUUUUCAAGUAUUGUGUGGAUGAAGUUUUUGAGACUUAGGUGAAACCGGGAUAUGAGACGAUUGAAUGAGAUACAAAAGCUAAAUCUUGGGGCUUCCCAAGGC